rnacentral:rRNA from 1 species
UUGAACUGAAGAGUUUGAUCAUGGCUCAGAUUGAACGCUGGCGGCAGGCCUAACACAUGCAAGUCGAGCGGAUGAAGGGAGCUUGCUCCCGGAUUCAGCGGCGGACGGGUGAGUAAUGCCUAGGAAUCUGCCUGGUAGUGGGGGACAACGUUCCGAAAGGAGCGCUAAUACCGCAUA